rnacentral:rRNA from 1 species
GACGAACGCUGGCGGCGUGCCUAAUACAUGCAAGUAGAACGAGCGGCGGACGGGUGAGUAAUGUCUGGGAAACUGCCUGAUGGAGGGGGAUAACUACUGGAAACGGUAGCUAAUACCGCAUACCAUCAGAUGUGCCCAGAUGGGAUUAGCUAGUAGGUGGGGUAAUGGCCUACCCAGCCGACGAUCUCUAGCUGGUCUGAGAGGAUGACCAGCCCCACCGGGACUGAGACACGGCCCGGACUCCUACGGGAGGAAGCAGUGGGGAAUAUUGCGCAAUGGGGGCAACCCUGACGCAGCCAUGCCGCGUGAAUGAAGAAGGCCUUCGGGUUGUAAAGUUCUUUCGGUGACGAGGCGUUAAUCACAGAAGAAGCACCGGCUAACUCCGUGCCAGCAGCCGCGGUAAUUC